rnacentral:rRNA from 1 species
UACGAAGGGUGCAAGCGUUAAUCGGAAUUACUGGGCGUAAAGGGUGCGUAGGCGGUUCGUUAAGUCUGUCGUGAAAUCCCCGGGCUCAACCUGGGAAUGGCGAUGGAUACUGGCGAGCUAGAGUGUGUCAGAGGAUGGUGGAAUUCCCGGUGUAGCGGUGAAAUGCGUAGAGAUCGGGAGGAACACCAGAGGCGAAAGCGGCGACCUGGACAGGCACUGACACUCAACUACGAAAGCGUGGGGAGCAAACAGG